rnacentral:rRNA from 1 species
GACGAACCGUGCGAACGUUGUUCGGAUUCACUGGGCUUAAAGGGCGCGUAGGCGGUCGUUCAAGUCGGGGGUGAAAUCUUUCAGCUCAACUGGAAAAUAGCCUCCGAUACUGGGCGGCUCGAGGGGGAUAGGGGCGCGCGGAACUUCCGGUGGAGCGGUGAAAUGCGUAGAUAUCGGAAGGAACGCCGGUGGCGAAAGCGGCGCGCUGGAUCCCUUCUGACGCUGAUGCGCGAAAGCCAGGGGAGCGAACGGG